rnacentral:rRNA from 1 species
GGGUUGUGAGGUUAAGCGACUAAGCGUACACGGUGGAUGCCCUGGCAGUCAGAGGCGAUGAAGGACGUGCUAAUCUGCGAUAAGCGUCGGUGAGGUGAUAUGAACCGUUAUAACCGGCGAUUUCCGAAUGGGGAAACCCAGUGUGUUUCGACACACUAUCAU